rnacentral:rRNA from 1 species
GAUGAACGCUGGCGGCGUGCCUAAUACAUGCAGGUCGAGCGAACGGACGAGAAGCUUGCUUCUCUGAUGUUAGCGGCGGACGGGUGAGUAACACGUGGAUAACCUACCUAUAAGACUGGGAUAACUUCGGGAAACCGGAGCUAAUACCGGAUAAUAUUUUGAACCGCAUGGUUCAAAGGUGAAAGACGGUCUUGCUGUCACUUAUAGAUGGAUCCGCGCUGCAUUAGCUAGUUGGUAAGGUAACGGCUUACCAAGGCAACGAUGCAUAGCCGACCUGAGAGGGUGAUCGGCCACACUGGAACUGAGACACGGUCCAGACUCCUACGGGAGGCAGCAGUAGGGAAUCUUCCGCAAUGGGCGAAAGCCUGACGGAGCAACGCCGCGUGAGUGAUGAAGGUCUUCGGAUCGUAAAACUCUGUUAUUAGGGAAGAACAUAUGUGUAAGUAACUGUGCACAUCUUGACGGUACCUAAUCAGAAAGCCACGGCUAACUACGUG